rnacentral:lncRNA from 1 species
GAUCAACAAGAAGGUACUACUGCAUAAAUUCUAAGAACUUAAAAUAGGGGAAAGAAGAUUUGUGAAUGUUGGCUAGGUUUAGUUUUGUUUGAAGCUUUCAACUUGGUUUGAUUUUAGUUUUGUUAUAAUAAAAUGAAAAAUUGGAACUGGAGAGAGUAAAGAUUGUAUCGUGUGUGUGGGACUGUGGAGCUGGUUUCUAUACUAAAUUUUUUUUCUUCUUUU